rnacentral:rRNA from 1 species
UAACGCGUGAGGAACCUGCCUCAAAGAGGGGGACAACAGUUGGAAACGACUGCUAAUACCGCAUGACACAUAGAGAUCGCAUGGUUUUUAUGUCAAAGAUUUAUCGCUGAAAGAUGGCCUCGCGUCUGAUUAGCUAGUUGGUGAGGUAACGGCCCACCAAGGCGACGAUCGGUAGCCGGACUGAGAGGUUGAACGGCCACAUUGGGACUGAGACACGGCCCAG